GGAGAUUGCAACCUUCACGUGGUCAACCCUGUUUCGGCUAAUGCAAUCAUCCCGACCUGCACAAACAAAUAGAUCAAAUAGAACAAAUUG